rnacentral:rRNA from 1 species
AGAGUUUGAUCCUGGCUCAGAACGAACGCUGGUGGCAGGCCUAACACAUGCAAGUCGAGCGCACCCUUCGGGGCGAGCGGCGGACGGGUUAGUAACGCGUGGGAAUGUACCCUUUACUACGGAAUAGCCUCUGGAAACGGAGAGUAAUACCGUAUGUGCCCUUCGGGGGAAAGAUUUAUCGGUAAAGGAUCAGCCCGCGUUAGAUUAGAUAGUUGGUGGGGUAAUGGCCUACCAAGUCUACGAUCUAUAGCUGGUUUUAGAGGAUGAUCAGCAACACUGGGACUGAGACACGGCCCAGACUCCUACGGGAGGCAGCAGUGGGGAAUCUUAAACAAUGGGCGCAAGCCUGAUCUAGCCAUGCCGCGUGUGUGAUGAAGGCCUUAGGGUCGUAAAGCACUUUCGCUAGGGAUGAUAAUGACAGUACCUAGUAAAGAAACCCCGGCUAACUCCGUGCCAGCAGCCGCGGUAAUAAGGGCGAAUUC